CCCGGGCCCGGGUAACAACGCUAUAGGUACUCAUUAGUCAGUGUCCCCGUCUCAUAGUAAAACGUCUGCGGUCCGGGAAAACUAAGGGUGACUCUGUCGUCUUAGUUCUCCCGGGCCAAAGUAACAACCAUACCUUAUGUAGUUUUAUAUUUAGUCACCUACAAUAUUCUCCAGUAGACAGCUACAUUUAGACUAUUAGAGUUGUUAAAAUAGAUAUAGUGCUUUGUUCAAUUCAAUACAAUAAAUAAACCGAUAUCGAAAUUUACCUACCCAAAAAGUGAGUAAAAAAUUUCUCCGAUCUAUAGUAUUAUUUUAAUAAUUGAAAUAUCAACAUCUAUCUGGUGAUUUAAUUUUCAGACUAUAACUAUGCACAUAUUAUAUAGAUAUUAGAUUAUCACUCCGUCAAAAGAAGAAAAUUCCAAAAUUUCAGUUAUCAAUUUAUGGCAUAAUGUCAUUUCGCUUCCAAUAUUUAUGAACAAAUAAUAAAACAAUCUCCCUGUUGCUGAAAAUUUAUUACCAUAUGGUAAGUAUCACCACAGAAGAAUACACUGAUAACGAUUAUCUUUUUUGAAUCAUUACUUUUACAUUUUAGGAUUAUUUACAUUGGACAUUUUCGGUGCAAAUAUAAAUCGUCAACCAUUGUAUAAUAAUGCACAUUCAAAUUGUCUCAAACACCUUACACAUUGGCACAACAUAAAUUGGUAAUGUAAUAUUAUUAGUUUUUUUCUUAUUAAAAUAUUAUCGUUUUUUAAAAUAAUUCAUUUCAAUAAUUGUAAUCCGUAGGAAAAAUUAAUAUUUUUUUUUUUAUUGUGGAUAUUUGAUUUGGGUGUGGCUAUUGGUAAAUCUCAAACUAACUGGCCGCCCUCUAGUGUUGAAAAUUUGAAAUACAAUAGUCGCAUACACUAUGACGUCAUCUGGGGUGUGGCAACAAGGGUAUUUCCUCCAGUCUAACUUUAAACCUUGUCUUAAGUAAACAUUUUAGUUAAUUUUAUUUUGCUUUUAGGUCUGGGAAAUUAUUUCUAUUCAAUAAAAGUUUCAUAUACCUUUUAUUUGUAUAUCUAUGACCUCCCCAGGAUUUUUCUAUUUUCUAUUUCAAAUUAAUACAUCUUACCAGUACUUCCUCCGCCCACUAAGCCUACCCGCUGCCUAUAACCCCUAACCCUACAUCCAAUACCCUGUUACUCUCCCACACCUCAUCUCUCGUCCUACCCUCUGCCCUCAACCUUUCCCCGUUUGAGAUUUAACUUUAUGUAUAAUAUAAGUUUUUUGAAAUUGAUUUAAUAACUUUUAUAUCUAUGUAACGUAAACGAAAUUCAAUAUUUUUUGCAAUCAAAUGAAAUCGUUUUGUAUAGAUAAUUGAAUAUCGAAUUUUUAAUUGAAAGAUGAUAUUUAUCAGGCAUUCAGCAAAAAUAAAGUUUUAACAUAGACUAUGAAAUGAUUGACUUUAUUUUAUGAGAAAAAAUAUUUUAAAAUACGAACAAUCCAGAUUUCAGAUUUAAAUUUUACAAAAAAUUAGUUUAUGAGUUAAUAUUUCAUACUUAGUAUUUCUUUAUUGUUUAUAGGUAUGUCUAACGGCCAGACCACCGAUUAUGGUUGUGCCGAUAGUCAAUUGACAAUAAAAGAAAAUGUCCAUCUUGCAUUCAUCAUCUGCUCUAAUUCAUAUGGAAUACAAUAAAUUGCCAACACAAAUUGUCCAUUCACAAUGAGUAUAGAUUCAUAGGUGGAGAUAUGAUAACUUUGGGGGGUCGGGGGGGGGGAGCUAAAAUACUGGCUUAUUAUGUGUAAUAUCGAUUUGGGGUCUGUGAUCGUAAGCACCUCCAAAGCCUUCUAUCUCCGCUUAUGUAUAGAACCAAUCAACACAAAUUAAUAAUCAAUAGAUCAAUAAAUAGAUUACACUAUUAGAUUUAUUUCAGUUUAUAAACUUUAUUUCACAUAUUACAAUAUAAAAUGCUUCACAUAAUUUAAUACAAUGGCUCUGUAAUAUUAGUUUGCUUAUAUUUAAUUUGUAAUAGAAAUAUGAUAGUAAUAAUAUGAUUAAUAUACCUACACUUAGUACCUACACUUAAUGCGCACACAUUUAUAUCAUUGCUAGAAAUUUUACCUUUAUACUCCAAUUAUUCUAAUUACCUAUUAGUGUUAUAAAUACAUAUGUACACACGCACAUGCAUACACAUUAUACAUUAUCUAUAGUUCCGAUAUUUAAUUUAUAAAUGUGUAUAUGUUUGUGUGUGUACCUAUCUAUUUAUUAGUUCUCUCUUAAAAUUAUUAAGUAGCUAUAGCACAGCGUUUGUUUUUUUUUUUCCUAUUUUACCUAAUACUAUUAACUAAUAAAACUAAUUUUAGACAAUAAAUAAAUGCUAUAUUUCCUCUCCUUUCCGCUAUUAAAUAACUAUAACAGUCACACACAUACACACACAUUAGUUUUUAAAAAUUAAUAAACAUGUAUAUAUAGAUAGGUUUUUUUUUUAAUAAUAAUUUAAUAUAAUUAUGUAAAAGUUUAAAGGUGGUGUUAAACUUUUAUUAUAACUAUAUUAUUGUUAGUUAAUUUUAAUAUAAACUUUAACCAUAAUGUAUAGUAAUUAAUAAUAUAAUAAAUGGAUAAGUAGGUAUUUAACAUGUAUAUAUAAUAUUAGGUAAUAUUUUAGCAUUAUUUUAAAAUAAUUUAGUACAUAAGUAAUUAUAAGUAAUUUUUAACAUUUAAGAACUUCACUAUAAUCUUUUUAAUUAUUAAUUGUAAAAUAUAAGUCUAUGUAUAAAUAAAUGUGAUAGUAUAUGCUAAGUUUUGUCAAAUAUUUUAUUUAUAAGUUGUAAUAUAUCUGUAAAUAUUUAAUUGUUAAUUAGUAUUAAGCCCUUACCUUUUAAAAUUUAAUUCUUCUAAUAUAUAAAUACAUAACACAGACAACAAUAAGACAACAAUUAUUUUAUUAUUUUAUUUUUUGUUAUACAAUUGUUAUCACGCUAUAAAUACUAUUUUUAUAUUUUUUUUUUUGUGAUAACAAUAAAAAUAAUAAUUCUCAA